AUUGAACGCUGGCGGCAGGCCUAACACAUGCAAGUCGAACGAGUGGCGGACGGGUGAGUAAUGUCUGGGAAACUGCCUGAUGGAGGGGGAUAACUACUGGAAACGGUAGCUAAUACCGCAUACCAUCGGAUGUGCCCAGAUGGGAUUAGCUAGUAGGUGGGGAAAAGGCUCACCUAGGCGACGAUCCCUAGCUGGUCUGAGAGGAUGACCGGCCACACUGAAACUGGAACACGGUCCGGACUCCUACGGAGGGAAGCAGUGGGGAAUAUUGCACAAUGGGGGAAAGCCUGAAGCAGCCAGGCCGCGGGUAUGAAGAGGGCCUUCGGGUUGUAAGGUACUUUCGGCGGGAGGAGUUUACCCGCAGAAGAGGCACCGGCUAACUCCGUGCCAGCAGCGCGGUAAUAC
rnacentral:rRNA from 1 species